AUACAGGUAAUAACUAAUCCCUUCAGACAGGAAGACAGACAGAUAGAUCCAGACAGCAGACAUGAAGGAUGUUUCAUCAUCAUAUACAGGUAAUAACUAAUCCCUUCAGACAGGAAGACAGACAGAUAGAUCCAGACAGCAGACAUGAAGGAUGUUUCAUCAUCAUAUACAGGUAAUAACUAAUCCCUUCAGACAGGAAGACAGACAGAUAGAUCCAGACAGCAGACAUGAAGGAUGUUUCAUCAUCAUAUACAGGUAAUAACUAAUCCCUUCAGACAGGAAGACAGACAGAUAGAUCCAGACAGCAGACAUGAAGGAUGUUUCAUCAUCAUAUACAGGUAAUAACUAAUCCCUUCAGACAGGAAGACAGACAGAUAGAUCCAGACAGCAGACAUGAAGGAUGUUUCAUCAGGGGGAAAUUAGG